rnacentral:rRNA from 1 species
UACGGAAGGCAGCAGUGGGGAAUAUUGGACAAUGGGCGAAAGCCUGAUCCAGCCAUGCCGCAUGAGUGAAGAAGGCCUUCGGGUUGUAAAGCUCUUUUAGUGAGAAAGAUAAUGACGGUACUCACAGAAGAAGUCCUGGCUAACUCCGUGCCAGCAGCCGCGGUAAUACGGAGAGGGCUAGCGUUAUUCGGAAUUAUUGGGCGUAAAGAGCGCGUAGGCUGAUUAGUAAGUUAAAAAGUGAAAUCCCAAAGCUUAACUUUGGAAUUGCUUUUUAAAAACUGCUAGUCUAGAGAUUGAAAGAGGAUAGAGGAAUUCCUAGUGUAGAGGUGAAAUUCGUAAAUAUUAGGAGGAAACACCAGUGGCGAAGGCGUCUAUCUGGUUCAAAUCUGACGCUGAGGCGCGAAAGGGCGUGGGGAGCAAAACAGGGAUUAGAUACC